rnacentral:rRNA from 1 species
GACGAACGCUGGCGGCGUGCUUAACACAUGCAAGUCGAACGGAAAGGCCCUGCUUUUGUGGGGUGCUCGAGUGGCGAACGGGUGAGUAACACGUGAGUAACCUGCCCUUGACUUUGGGAUAACUUCAGGAAACUGGGGCUAAUACCGGAUAGGAGCUCCUGCUGCAUGGUGUGUGUUGGAAAGUUUCGGCGGUUGGGGAUGGACUCGCGGCUUAUCAGCUUGUUGGUGGGGUAGUGGCUUACCAAGGCUUUGACGGGUAGCCGGCCUGAGAGGGUGACCGGCCUCAUUGGGACGGAGAUACGGCCCAGACUCCAACGGGAGGCAGCAGUGGGGAAUAUUGCACAAUGGGCGGAAGCCUGAUGCAGCAACGCCGCGUGCGGGGUGACGGCCUUCGGGUUGUAAACCGCUUUCGCCUGUGUCGAAGCGUGAGUGACGGUAAUGGGUAAGGAAGCACCGGCUAACUACGUG